rnacentral:rRNA from 1 species
GAUGAACGCUGGCGGCGUGCCUAAUACAUGCAAGUCGAGCGAACAGAUGAGGAGCUUGCUCCUCUGACGUUAGCGGCGGACGGGUGAGUAACACGUGGAUAACCUACCUAUAAGACUGGGAUAACUUCGGGAAACCGGCGCUAAUACCGGAUAAUAUAUUGAACCGCAUGGUUCAAUAGUGAAAGACGGUUUUGCUGUCACUUAUAGAUGGAUCCGCGCCGCUUUAGCUAGUUGGUAAGGUAACGGCUUACCAAGGCAACGAUGCGUAGCCGACCUGAGAGGGGGAUCGGCCACACUGGAACUGAGACACGGUCCAGACUCCUACGGGAGGCAGCAGUAGGGAAUCUUCCGCAAUGGGCGAAAGCCUGACGGAGCAACGCCGCGUGAGUGAUGAAGGUCUUCGGAUCGUAAAACUCUGUUAUUAGGGAAGAACAAAUGUGUAAGUAACUAUGCACGUCUUGACGGUACCUAAUCAGAAAGCCACGGCUAACUACGUG